rnacentral:rRNA from 1 species
UACUAUUAGACUUGAGAUCGGGAGAGGUCAGAGGUACUCCGUGGGGUAAGGGGUGAAAAUCCUGUAAAUCCUAGGAGGACCACCUGUGGCGAAGGCGUCUGACUAGAACGAAUCUGACGGUGAGGAACGGAAAGCUAGGGGCGCGAACCGGAUUAGACUACCCGGGUAGUCCUAGCCGUAAACUAUGCGGACUUGGUGUGAGGGUGGCUUCGAGCCGUCCUGGUGCCGAAGGGAAGCUGUUAAGUCCGCCGCCUGGGAAGUACGGUCGCAAGACUGAAACUUAAAGGAAUUGGCGGGGGAGCGACCACAACGCGUGGAGCCUGCGGUUUAAUUGGAUUCAACGCCGGAGAUCUCACCGAGCGGCGACAGCAGUAUGAUGACCAGGUUGAUGACUUUGUUUGACAAGCUGAGGAGAGGUGCAUGG